UAAUACCGGAUAGAUCAGAGAUACUGGAAUGUACUCUGGUUUAAAACUCCGGCGCCCAAGGAUGGGUCUGCGGCCUAUCAGGUAGUAGUGGGUGUACCGUACCUACUAGUCAGCGACGGGUAAGGGUUGUGAGAGCAAGAUCCCUGAGAUGGAUUCUGAGACCUGAAUCCGGGCCCUACGGGGUAAAGCAGGCGCGAAAACUUUACACUGCGGGAAACCGCGAUAAUGGGACCCCGUGUACCAGCACUUAGUGCUGGCUGUGGUACUGUCUUAAUAACAGUGGUUAGCAAGGGCCGGGCAAGACCGGUGCCAGUCGCCGCGGUAACACCGGCGGCCCGUGUCGGUAACCGUUUUUAUUGGGUUUAAAGGGUCCGUAGCCGGCUUACUAAGUCUCUUGGGAAAUCGGCGGCUCAAUCGUCAGGCGUUC
rnacentral:rRNA from 1 species